GAUUUAUAAAUAUAUGUUAUAUAAUUUAAUGUUAUUGUUGAACGCAUAUUCUCUUGUUAUUCGAAUUCAUGGCUUACUGUCCAGGGAUGUCAGGUUCACAGAUUAAUCUGUGUUUCACAGAUUUUGAGUUUUCUGCACAGAUUUUGAAACUGACACAGAUUUCCGAAAACGAUCACAGAUUCUUGCAUAAAUCACUGAUUUUCACAGAUUUUGGAUAUCGAGUAUUGUUUAGCACCAAAAAGUACAGAGCGUGGUGGUAGUGAGACCUUUUUUUUAUUUUUUGGUCGCCAAAUUUGUUUUUGAACUGCUAUAUAGGGGUACGGAAAAAGGUCACAGAUUUUCACAGACAGGUUUUGGGUUUUAUCGCAGAUUUUUGAAAAAAUGACCGUCUGGCAUCUCUGUUACUGUCAACUCAUUACCACGACCGGAGUCGUCCGCUGCGCAAGUCUUUUAAAAUACGGAAACAAGCAAAGUCGAGUACCCCGAAAAACGUCCACGCUGUAGGCGUACACUGGGUAACGAUUUGAAUUGACCAGGUUUGUCGGCGCCGGAGUUAAUUGUUUAAAAGACGAGGUCAUGCACACUCACGGUGUAACGUAGUUUUUCGAUAUUUAAAUAAAUUUUUAUUUGUUCUUCAAUAUAAAACAUGUUAGAAUAAAAGGUCUUUUAAUGUAAACAGA